rnacentral:rRNA from 1 species
UGGGCUUGACAUAUAUCUGAAAGCUCUGGGAAACCAGAGGCCUUUCCGGCUUUGCCGGAAACAGUUAUACAGGUGGUGCAUGGCUGUCGUCAGCUCGUGUCGUGAGAUGUUGGGUUAAGUCCCGCAACGAGCGCAACCCUUGCCCUUAGUUGCCAUCAGGUUAUGCUGGGAACUCUAAGGGGACUGCCGAGGACAACUCGGAGGAAGGUGGGGAUGACGUCAAGUCAGUAUGUCCCUUACGUCCAGGGCUACAUACGUGUUACAAUGGCCGGUACAACGGGUUGCUAAACCGCGAGGUGGAGCUAAUCCCUUAAAACCGGCCUCAGUUCGGAUUGGAGUCUGCAACUCGACUCCAUGAAGU